GCACUCCAGCCUGGGUGACAGAAGUGAAACUCCGUCUCAAAAAAAAAAAAAAAAAUUGGCUGAAGAGCAAGGUGUUGGCUUACUUGCUAAUAAGACUUAGAUAAGAGGGCAUGUUUAGAAGUGAGCACAGGCCAGGUGUGGUAGCUCACGCCUGUUAGCCCAGCACUUUGGGAGGCUGAGGUGGGCCGGUCACAAGGUCAGGAGUUUGAGACCAGCCUGGCCAACACAGUGAAACCCCCUCUCUACUAAAAAUACAAACAUUAGCUGGGUGUGGUGGCGGGUGCCUGUAAUCCCAGCUAUUUGGGAGGCUGAGGCAGGAGAAUUGCUUGAACCUGGGAGGCAGAGGUUGCAGUGAGCCAAGAUUGCACCACUGCACUCCAGCCUGGGUGACAGAGCACGACUCCAUCCUGAAAAAAAAAAAAGUGAAGGCAAAUGGUAAUGCUAGUAUUCCUCUUUAUUUCAUGUGCUUUGCCUACCUACCUAGUCACAGUAAGUGCAGGACAACCUUGGCUUUCCACACAGUGAAGGUGCCUGCUUCUCUAAGCCUACUGACUAAGCACGGUAGGAUAAAAUUGAAAAAAAACAAAACAAAACAUUGAAAAUAGCACCAGCCAGCUGUGGCGGCUCACGCUUGUAAUCUUGGUACUUUGCGAGGCCAAGGUGGGUGGAUCACUUGAGCUCAGGAGUUCAAGACCAGCCUGAACAACAUGAUGAAACCCCAUCUCUACAAAAAAAAGAAAAAAAAUAGGCAUGGCACGCUCCUGUAGCCCCAGCUACUCAGGAGGCUGAGGUGGAAGGAUCACCUGAGCCUGGUGGGUGGAGGCUGAAGCCAUGAUUGUGCCACUGCACUUGAGCCUGGGUGACAGAGCAAGACAGUCUCAAAAAAAAAAAAAAAAAAAAAAAAAAAGAAAGAAAGAAAAGAAAGAAAAAAGAAAAUAGCACCAAAAAUGUAAAAUACUUAGGGAUAAGUUUGAAAAAAAAAAGAUGUGCAAGAUCUGUUCAUUGAAAACCAGAAAACAUUACUGAGAGAACUGAAAGACAACCUAUCCAAAUGGAAAAAUACACUAUGUCCAUGGAUGAAAAGACUCAAUAUUGUUAAGGUGUUAUUUGUCCCCAAAUUGAUUUGUAGAUCUAACACAACCCUAAUCAAAAGUCAGCUGGCUUUUUUUUUUUUUGUAGAAAUGUAUGGUUGAUUCUAAAAUUUAUAUGGGAAUGAAAAGGACCUACAAUAGACACACACACACACACACACACACACACACACACACACACACUUUAGAAAGAAAAACAUAAAAACAUAGUUGGAUAACUUAUACUACCUGUGGAGGGCAGAUUCUAAGAUGGCCCCAUGACCAUCUAUUGCUUCUAACCAAUAGAAUAUGGUGAAGGUGAUGGGAUGCCAUUUGUGAUUGCAUUAAGUUAUAAAAGCCUCUCUUGCUAGCAGAUCCACUCUAGAGUCUCUUCCUCUUCUCCUUUCUGGCCAUGUUGAGGAAGCUCAUGUAGCAAGGAACUGGGGAGGCCCCUUGAAGCUAAGGGUGCCCACCAACAGCCAAACAACAAAAAACUGAAGCUCUCAGUUUCCGUUUGCUAACUACCAUGUGAGCUGGAAAGCGAAUUAUUUUUCAGUCCAGUCUCCAGAUAAGAGUCCAGCCCUGGCUUAUAUACACCUUGACCGCAGUCUCUG
rnacentral:lncRNA from 1 species